rnacentral:tRNA from 1 species
GGCGAAGUAAUUAAAAUAUAAUAUUAGUUUGUCGUUUUAAAGUUGCUUGUGUUAAGCCUUUGCCU